rnacentral:rRNA from 1 species
UAUUGCACAAUGGGGGGAACCCUGAUGCAGCAACGCCGCGUGGGUGAAGGAGUACCCCGGUAUGUAAAGCUCUAUCAGCAGGGAAGAAGAAAGACGGUACCUGACUAAGAAGCCCCGGCUAACUACGUGCCAGCAGCCGCGGUAAUACGUAGGGGGCAAGCGUUAUCCGGAUUUACUGGGUGUAAAGGGAGCGUAGACGGCUGUGCAAGUCUGAAGUGAAAGCCCGUGGCUCAACCGCGGAACUGCUUUGGAAACUGUAUAGCUUGAGUACUGGAGAGGCAGGCGGAAUUCCUAGUGUAGCGGUGAAAUGCGUAGAUAUUAGGAGGAACACCAGUGGCGAAGGCGGCCUGCUGGACAGAAACUGACGUUGAGGCUCGAAAGCGUGGGGAGCAAAC